AGUGAACGCUGGCGGUAGGCCUAACACAUGCAAGUCGAACGGCAGCACAGUAAGAGCUUGCUCUUACGGGUGGCGAGUGGCGGACGGGUGAGUAAUACAUCGGAAUCUACUUUUUCGUGGGGGAUAACGUAGGGAAACUUACGCUAAUACCGCAUACGACCUACGGUUGAAAGCAGGGGAUCUUCGGACCUUGCGCGAUUGAAUGAGCCGAUGUCGGAUUAGCUAGUUGGCGGGGUAAAGGCCCACCAAGGCGACGAUCCGUAGCUGGUCUGAGAGGAUGAUCAGCCACACUGGAACUGAGACACGGUCCAGACUCCUGCGGGAGGCAGCAGUGGGGAAUAUUGGACAAUGGGGGCAAGCCUGAUACAGCCAUACCGCGUGGGUGAAGAAGGCCUUAGGGUUGUAAAGCCCUUUUGUUGGGAAAGAAAAGCAGCAGGUUAAUACCCCGCUGUUCUGACGGUACCCAAAGAAUAAGCACCGGCUAACUUCGUG
rnacentral:rRNA from 1 species